AUACGUAGGGGGCAAGCGUUAUCCGGAAUUACUGGGCGUAAAGGGUGCGUAGGUGGUCUGCCAAGUUAGAGGUCAAAGGCAACGGCUCAACCGUUGUUCGCCCCUAAAACUGGCGGACUUGAGUUCUGGAGGGGAAAGCGGAAUUCCUAGUGUAGCGGUGAAAUGCGUAGAUAUUAGGAGGAACACCAGUGGCGAAGGCGGCUUUCUGGACAGAUACUGACACUGAGGCACGAAAGCGUGGGUAGCAAACAGGAUUAGAUACCCUGGUAGUCCACGCCGUAAACGAUGAGUACUAGGUGUUGGCCCGUCAAGGGUCGGUGCCGCAGUUAACACAUUAAGUACUCCGCCUGGGGAGUACGUUCGCAAGAAUGAA
rnacentral:rRNA from 1 species